UAGGGAAUAUUGGACAAUGGGUGAGAGCCUGAUCCAGCCAUGCCGCGUGCAGGAAGAAGGCGUUAUGCGUUGUAAACUGCUUUUGCCAGGGGAUAAAAAGACCGUGCGCGGUUAACUGAAGGUACCUGGUGAAUAAGCCACGGCUAACUACGUGCCAGCAGCCGCGGUAAUACAGAGGGUGCAAGCGUUAAUCGGAAUUACUGGGCGUAAAGCGCGCGUAGGCGGCUUAACAAGUCAGAGGUGAAAGCCUGGAGCUCAACUCCAGAACUGCCUUUGAAACUGUUAAGCUUGAGUGUCGGAGGGGAUAGCGGAAUUUCUAAUGUAGAGGUGAAAUUCGUAGAUAUUAGAAGGAACACCGGUGGCGAAGGCGGCUAUCUGGACGACAACUGACGCUGAGGCGCGAAAGCGUGGGGAU
rnacentral:rRNA from 1 species